AAGCCUCGGGCGUCCACGAAGCUGUGUCGGUGUCCGGAAGCGCCGGUGUGGCCACAGCCUGGGUCGCGAGGGCCGGUCGGCGUGCCGGCGGGCGUGUCCCCGCCGUAGUGGGCUUCACCCAGAGUGCACGCUUCCCGCCGCCGGGCCCAGCUGGUGCCCACGGCCGCCCCGCAGGACCGUGUUCGUGUGAACGUGGGAGGUGCGGACCACGCCGGGGAACGCUCCCCCGGGGACGGGCGAGACAACGCGAAGAUGGACACACGAGGGGCAGAAGAGCAGCGGGCGCGGAGAGCCCGUGGGGUCUUGAGGGUGGCCGGGACGAAGCCCCAGGCAAGGGAGAGAGGACGGCAGGGCUGGGGUGGGGGGCGCCCUCCUAGGAUAUAGAAGCCGAGGCCUGAGCAGGGAGGGAGCCUGGCCAAGCUGAGUGGCAGAACCCGGUUAGAUGCCCCCACAGCCCUUGCCCCGCACCCUCCGCCCUUUCCCCCAAACCCCCUCCCACCGCACCCCCGCCUCCCACUCACCCCCACUCCAUUCCUCCACAGAGCAGCAGUGACGAGAGGAGCCCAGCCAGGCCCGUUGCUGGUGGCAGGGGUCUGUUAAGGAAGAAAACAGAAAAAGCCCAGACUGCAGAGCCAAUUUCCCAGCGUCCCCCUGCCCAUGUUCCUGGGAGUGUGCCCACAGUCUCUCGGCUAAAAUAUCCUUUGGGACUUCAUCUCACAGAUGAGGCACAAGGCCCCUUGGGGUGGACUCCUGCCAGCCCCUGCUGCCCGUGGCCGAGCCCGGCAGUGGCCUCUGACAUACAAACGCCCCUUUGCUUGGCAAGUCCUCUCCAUUCUCCAAGCCUCAGCUCCCACAUCGCUUCCCCACUCAGGUCCCUGUCGGGUGGCAGUUAGGACUCUCAGUGUUCAUGCCAUCCCUGAAAGGUGUGUGCUCUCCAGGGCCCCCAACAUGUGCAGGGACGCUGCGUGUUUGUGUUUGUGGUUGGGGGUCUGCACAGCUGGCCUUCCUGUCUGUGUCUGCGUGUGGGUCAGCCCAGUUAGGCCUGCUGACCAAGAGAUCUGUAGUUGGAAGUCAAGAGACGAGACAGCACCAGAAAGGAGAGGCAGUGUGGGGAGAUCUUUGAGAGUCUUCCUUAUUCACCAGAGUAAAGAGUAUGGACAAAACCCCUUCUGUAUGUGGUCAAAUGAUUUUUGGCAAGGGCGCCAAGUCCAUUUAAGGGGGAAAGGGCUAUCAUUUCAACAAAUGUGCUGGGUAACCUAAAAACCCACACGUAAAAGAAUGAACUGGAGCCUCACUUCACACCAUGUGAAAAUUAAUUCAAACUAGAUCAAGGACAUGAAUGUAAAACCAAAAACUAUAAAACUGAGAAGAAAACAGGGCACAACCUUCAUGACAUCGGCUUUGGCAGUGAUUUCUUGCACGUGAGACCAAAGGCACAGACAGUAACAAAAAAGACAGGUUGGACUUAAAGAAAAUUUUAAAUGUGUGUGUCAAAAAGAUACCAUCAAUAGUAAAAAGACAAGCCACAGAGUGGGAGAAAAUAUUUAUAAAUCAUAAAACUCUUAAAACUAAACAACAACAAAAAACAACCUAAUUUGAAAGUGAGCAAAAGACGCUAAGAGACAGGUUGCUACAGGAGAUACACAAAUGGCCAAAAAGCGCAUUUAAAAAUGCUUAUCGUCCACGUGUCAGGGACACGCAAAUCAAAACUUGGAGACACCACACACCCAUCAGGAUGGCUACUAUAAUUCUAACAAACAAAAACAUGAUGAGGAACCCUUGUGCGCUGCUGGUAGAAGUGUAAAAUGGUGCACCUGUUGUGGAGAACAGUAUGGUGGUUCCUCAAAAAAUUAAAAGUACAGCUACUGCAGGAUCCAGCAAUUCGACUUCUGGGUGUUUACCCGAGCUAACUGAAAGCGGUGUCUUGAAGAAAUACUUGCACACCACGCUCACAGCAGCAUUAUUCACUAUAGCCAAGAGGGAAGCAGCCCAAGUGUCUCUUGUUGGAUGAAUGGGGUCCCAAGGCAAGUUCUUCGAAGGGAAACUCGGUGCCUCACUCUCCAGCUCAUGAAAUGUGGAUGAGCCCCUCUUCAAGAAAGCCUGCUGUCCGAAGUCCCAGAUCCCACAGGCAGAGGAGCAAGUGUUCCCUGAGGUUUUUUCACUGAGGUAUAAUCGACACGCGACAAGGAGUGCAAACCGUAGAGUUCCACCUGCGGGGUUUUCCAUCCGCGCUCACCCCGGCGGGCGGCAUGGCCCCCUUCCCCGCCUGGCUCCCGGGAGGCUCUCGCGGGCCCCGGCCCCGGUUCCAGGUGAAGGCACUCCAGGCCUGGCCUGUGCCCCAAGUCCAGGUGGACGGCCAGCUGGCACCCAGCAGAGAGGACUGUGGGGCUGGACGCACCCAAGAGCAUUCCGUCUCCCGGCCCCACCCUCCUGUGGGGCCUGGCGGCAAGGACUGACUGAGCCAAGUGGCAGGAAAGGAGGCACUUCCGCCCCAGGCACACAGCGUCCAGCUGUCCCGUCCCAGUGGACACUGAGGGCUCGCCACGCUGGCCAGAGGCCAGGACAUUCAGCCGAACCGGGUGGAGCUUCAGGUUCAAAGGCAGAAGCUGUAGGGCACAGGCAGCAGGGCCCCGUCACCCCGGGCCAGGCCCGCUAGCAGCACACCCUAGGGUCGGUCCCCAGGCUGACCUCCGACCCAGGCCUCUCCAUGUCCAGGCAGGGCCACACAGUCUGUGGAGGUACAGGCCUCGUGGCGGGACGGGCCCGGUUUCCAGGGCCGACCCCCCGCCCAGGCCCCCUCCUGUCUGCAUCUCUGUUUCUGCAUCAGGAGGUUGAAGCUGCUCCCGGUCCCCCUGGAUGCAGUGAGGGGUCAUCAGGUGGAGGGCAGCCAGGGGCCUGAGCACAGGCUGCAUCUUUUCUGCACCCGGGGCCAGACCCAGGUCCAGGCCCCAGCAGCGGAAGGUGGCCCUCCCCGCCUCCCCUCUGCUGCUGUUCUCACUGGUCUGCCGGCCUGUCUGUCCGGGAGUUGCCCUUGGACCCGCUCUUCCUGCCCGUGGAGGAGCAGGCGGCAGGUGUGGAUCAGCGAGCCGCCGCCCCACGCAGGGCCGGGCACCCCAGCGCCCGCCGCCACGCGGCCGCGUGCGGGGAACCACAGAGUUGCCAGCGGGUUCUUCCUCAGCGGGCUCGCUCUUCCUGCCUGGGAACUGGGCCUGAGGGUUGCUGCCCCCUCGGGAGCGUCCUGACCGCUGGCCCGGCCUGGCCCAGGCCCCACGGAGGCCCCAUGGCAACCCUGUGGGGCAGUCCAGUUACAAGUCCCUUUACAGGGCGGGAAACUGAUGCCGAGGGAGAGGAAGUGGCUCCCCGGGGAGUCGGGGUGCAGGGCGGGGUCUGAGCCCAGCCCUGGGCUCUGGGUAGAGAGGGAGACACAGUGCAGGAGGGGCCCUGUGUGGGAGGAGAGGCGCCCCCGCCCCGUGCCUAGCCCCGCGGAGGGUUCAUGGUGGGACUUCAGUCAUGGACAUGUUCAGAAACCCCCGUCUCCUCUCUGUGCCCGGGGACGCCAGCGGGGAGCCUGGGAGGGACUAGGGAGGGACCUCGGGUGCUGGGUGGUGACAGGGCCUGCGCUCCGGCAGCCUCCACGCACCAGGCAGCUGCAGAAACCUGCCCAGAGGCAGAGGUUGGUCUGGCCUGGAGAGCAACUGGAAUCCAAAUUCCCGCCCCAGGGGGUGGGCCAGGCCUGGGCUUGUCGGUGCAGCCUGGCCCCCAGUUCCUCCCCCGCCCCGUGGCGCCCGGCUCUGCAGGCGCUCUGGGACUCUGAGGCCCUGGGAUGUACGGCAGGGCCCAGCCAGGAGAUGCCAUUGCCCCCCACCUGCUAUGACCCCGUGCAGGUGGCUGCAAGCAGGUGGCUGUGUGGGGCCGGAGGCCAUCCUGGGCCCCAGGGUGGGCAUCAGGCCCCAAGGUGUGCAGGACCCCUGACCCCUGACCCCAGGGAGCUCCUGGCCAGGGCAAGAAGCCAAUCAGCAUCUCAUCUCAGGAAGGUCUGGGGCAAUGGGUCGAAUCCAGGUCGGUUCCCUCAGGACACAUGGCAGCACUGGCUGUCACGACAGGGGAGGGGAGGGCACUACUGGCCACUAGAGGGUGGAGACCAGGGAUGCUGGUCGGCGCCCCUGAGUGCCCAAGCCAGCCCCGCAGGGAGACAUCCGCCCAGAAUGCUGACUGCGUCGGUCCAGAGCUUUGAAGGGCGAUGGCCCAUCUGAAGGGGCUGUGGGUCGGGUGGUCAGGGAAGGCCUCUCCGAGGAGGAGAUGUUGUCGUGCAGGGACCAGGCCUGGAAGGUCCGUCCCUUCAUGCUGGUCAUCCCAGUGUCCCGGCAGCCAGAGAAGAGGAGGACCAGCCUCUGGCUCUGCGGUGGGGGAGGGAGAGCAGGCAGGGAUCUGGUGCCAGGCCUGCGGAAUUCCAGAAGGCCGAGGCCUCCUCACCAACCCCCUCCCAGGCUCCUAGCUCCCAGGAGCCGCUGCCACAUUCCUCCCCCUGGGUGGGCAGGGGCUGGGGUCUUGGUGCAUUCCUGGUGGAGAUACGGGGAGGCCCUGAAGGCAGCCUGCGCCAGCCUCCUGCGGGACCCAGAUAACCUUUGUGCGGGCUCUGCUCCACUCAGCUGCCCAAGGCUGGGGCCACAGGGCCUUGCUGAGGACGCUCGGGGUCAGCCAUCGCGAGAGAGCAAGCAUGUGGGCGCACAUCCAGCCAGGAGCAACCUGUCGGGAGGGGGAAUGAGCACCCUGCGGAUAAGGUCUGGACUUACCAGCCCGGCGCGGUCAGCAGGCAGAGCCUCCUGACCCCUGAAGACCCCUGGCUGGUGGGGCCGUGUCGCCUCGGGGUCAUAGUGCUGGGGACAGUGGAGUCCACACGGCCUUUCUGAUCCCUAGUCUCCGUUCUGUAAGCUGGGCUUUUGUGAACAUCAGGUGAGGGGCCUGCCCAGCACUGGGCACAAGCCACCAGAAACAGCAGCUCCUUAAAGACCCACUGGGCACGCGGCCCCGGGAGGCACGGUGGCGCUGCGGUGCUGGGGCCGGGGACGAGGCAGGAAGUCACCAUCAGCCCCUUCAGCUCAGGGGUCCAGAGAGGUUGCACCUCCAGCUUGAGGCCACAGAGCAACCCUGGAGGCGAGAGGCGGCAGGAGGCUGGGCUCCAAGAGAGGGGCGGCUCUCAGCUCCCGGCCUCCGCCUCCCUCGGUACCACUUCCUGGAAGGCCAGGCUCAGACCCCCAGACCCCCUUCAAGAAGGAGACGGCUCCCAGGAGACGCUUCCACCAACCCCCGACGGCGGACCGUCCAGUCUUGUGUGUUUACAUUCCUCUAGGAAAUGUUUCCCCAGGAGGGCCAAGGGACAAAUGUUUUGUAAAUGUUGAAACCCAGGCAAACAGAGGCCUGGCUCCCAGCCCACCCACCACCCCUGCUUUUCCACAGGGCAGAGGGGAGGCCCCAGCAGGGACCCUGGAGGGGAUCCCCGCCUCAGCUGGCCCACCCCCUCUUCCCUUCCAGCCAGAGCAGAGCUGCCGGGACAGGCCCGGUGAGGACUGGGCACAGCACGGGUGGUGCCCCCGAACAUUCCUGUAUUUUCAAGGCCUCUUGUUAAGAAAUUGGGGUGAAGUAGGUGGAAGUGGUUGGGGUGUCACUUGUAUCUGAAACACUGGGGACCCUGGGGAAACCCCCAGUGUCGGGCAGGCCGGGGUGAGGCCUGGUGCCUGAGCGGGCUUCACCCUCAGGCCUCCAAGGCAGGAGCCUACGGCUGAGCUGCGUGUGACCCAGGGGCCCAGGGCCCUCGGCAAAGGCAGGGUGGGCGGGGCCCGUGGUGUGUCACACUCCAGGCUGAGCCAGUCUCCUGUUCAGGGCUCGGUGUCUUGGGUUCACCAUGGCCCUAAACACAGGCCUCUGCCUCCGUGGUGCUCACAGAAAGCCCAGGACCAGCGGGAGAGCAGCGCCGCGGGCACCUCCACGUCUCCACCGCCGGGCACCGCUCCCACCUGAGCUGCGCCCGCACACGUCUGCGACCUGCCCCUCCACACCUGGGAGGCCAGCGGCCCAGGUGUAGCCCGAGCUGCUGGCUCCUGGUCCCCGCAGCCUCUGCAGAGAGCCCGCCACCCAGGCUCGCGCGUGUUGUGGCAGGUGCGGGCGGCGAGCCUCUCUUCAGCUAACACGCCUCGCGCUGGCUCAACCCUUCACCCGCUGACGGACGGCUGAGCUGCUUCCGCCCUUCGGCUGUUAUGGACGAUGCUGCCACAGACAGGGUUCGCGCACUGGGGACCUGGGAGCGGGAGCCCUGGGGAUGCUGUGUUCCACCUUUGAGGAAGCAUCACCCUGGCUUCCCCAGCAGCAGGGGGGACCCCGACUUCCCAUGUCCUCGCCCACACUUGUCACUGCCUGGUGUUUUCACUCUGCCCAGCAGCCAGAGAGGAAGCUGUGGCUCUCAGGCUGCCCAAGAGGGACACUAGGUCUAGACACCGAGCCCUCUCCUUUCAGCCUGCCUGUCCCCACCUGGGGCCUCCUGGCCAGUGUGAAGGCGACGGGGCACAGGGGUCCCAGGGUCCAGCCACGAUUGCCCAGCACCUGCUCAGCACAGGGCCUGGGACGCACAAUAAAUAAUAAAAUGAUAAGAUUAAAUGAAAUA